rnacentral:rRNA from 1 species
GACGAACGCUGGCGGCGUGCCUAAUACAUGCAAGUAGAACGCUGAAGGAGGAGCUUGCUUCUCCGGAUGAGUUGCGAACGGGUGAGUAACGCGUAGGUAACCUGCCUGGUAGCGGGGGAUAACUAUUGGAAACGAUAGCUAAUACCGCAUAAGAGUAGAUGUUGCAUGACAUUUGCUUAAAAGGUGCAAUUGCAUCACUACCAGAUGGACCUGCGUUGUAUUAGCUAGUUGGUGGGGUAACGGCUUACCAAGGCGACGAUACAUAGCCGACCUGAGAGGGUGAUCGGCCACACUGGGACUGAGACACGGCACAGACUCCUACGGGAGGCAGCAGUAGGGAAUCUUCGGCAAUGGACGGAAGUCUGACCGAGCAACGCCGCGUGAGUGAAGAAGGUUUUCGGAUCGUAAAGCUCUGUUGUAAGAGAAGAACGAGUGUGAGAGUGGAAAGUUCACACUGUGACGGUAUCUUACCAGAAAGGGACGGCUAACUACGUG